rnacentral:lncRNA from 1 species
GCCGGGGGCUCUGAGGUGGGCGGCCCAGGCCCCCUGACAGACAGCGAUCAAAAAUCCGGAUGACCAAACCGUUUUCGGCGCUCACACGGGUUUUCCUGUUCCACCUUUCUGGCCAGACGCGUCGGUGCCUUGAGGCUCCAAAAGUCCCAAGUGUGGAUUUUGCAGACAUGACUGCAGAGCAGACAUCCGGUCAGCAGAGGGCACACUCGUCACUGUCAACCCCUAUUGCCAGAUUUGGAGGUGACUAUGGGUCCUCAAACCACAGUUUCUGCCGGACCCGGGCAGCACAAGGCUUGUAAGCGGAGAUUCUGGAG